GUAAUUAAUAAAGAUAGUGUCACCUAAGACGAUAGCUUCUAUCAACGGCAAUGGCUGGCUAUAAAGGACAAAAGCAGAGCAGCUCUUGAUGAUUUUUGAGAUGGUUAGUGUUACCGUACGCCGAAUUGGAUACCUAUUACGUCAAUACUCUAUCGUCAUAACAAAGUCCUCACCUAUUAGUCAACAGUACAUGUACAUGAAAUCAUCUCUAUGUUUAACAGGUAUUGCACCAAGCUCUUCCUUGAUUAAUGGACUAUACCUUCUCCGCGCA
rnacentral:lncRNA from 1 species